rnacentral:tRNA from 1 species
CGCGGGGUGGAGAAGAGGUAUCUCGUCGGGCUCAUAACCCGAAGAUCGGGGGUUCGAAUCCCCCCCCCGCCA